rnacentral:rRNA from 1 species
GACGAACGCUGGCGGCGUGCUUAACACAUGCAAGUCGAACGGAAAGGCCCUGCUUUUGUGGGGUGCUCGAGUGGCGAACGGGUGAGUAACACGUGAGUAACCUGCCCUUGACUUUGGGAUAACUUCAGGAAACUGGGGCUAAUACCGGAUAGGAGCUCCUGCUGCAUGGUGGGGGUUGGAAAGUUUCGGCGGUUGGGGAUGGACUCGCGGCUUAUCAGCUUGUUGGUGGGGUAGUGGCUUACCAAGGCUUUGACUGGUAGCCGGCCUGAGAGGGUGACCGGCCACAUUGGGACUGAGAUACGGCCCAGACUCAUACGGGAGGCAGCAGUGGGGAAUAUUGCACAAUGGGCGGAAGCCUGAUGCAGCAACGCCGCGUGCGGGAUGACGGCCUUCGGGUUGUAAACCGCUUUAGCCUGUGACGAAGCGUGAGUGACGGUAAUGGGUAAAGAAGCACCGGCUAACUACGUG